GCGGCGACCGCCGGCAACUGUUGUGGCUGCCGCAUUGCUCCCGCCGGGCUGUAGCUGAGCGCGGAGCCCGUGGGGGCCGGUGAGAUGGAACUGUUUUCCCGCGUUGAGACGUGCGGUCCGCUUGUGCUUUCAGAACUAGUAAGACUGCUGCAGAGUCCGGAGGAAGAAGUCACCUAGAAAAGUCUGGGACAGGGCAGUAAGCUUCCUUCUUAAUGUUUGACCUUUGGGGGCCGAUGUGUGAUACCUCGGAUUUGAAUCAAGAAUCUCCAAGCCCAUUUUCCGCAUGCAUGUAAACGUGAUGUACCGGGAUGGGGGCUGGUGGUGGAGGAGGAGCCAGCCCAACGGAUAUGCGUUUCCAGUGGCAGGGACUUGUGUUAAUUUCUUUUUUCUUUUUUCUUUUUUUUUCUUUUUUCCGAGACGGAGUCUCACUCUGUCGCCCAGGCGGGAGUGCAGUGGCGCGAUCUCGGCUCACUGCAACCUCUGCCUCCUGGGUUCAAGCAAUUCUCCUGCCUCAGCCUCCCAAGUAGCUGGGAAUACAGGUGUGCGCCACCACGCCCGGCUAAUUUUUGUGUUUUUAGUAGAGACGGGGUUUCACUAUGUUGGCCAGGCUGGUCUGGAACUCCUGACCUCGUGAUUCGCCCGCCUCAGCCUCCCAAAGUGCUGGGAUUACAGGCGUGAGCCACUGCGCCCGGCCAACUUGUGCUAAUUUCUUAAACUUGCGUGAUCACCUGGUG
rnacentral:lncRNA from 1 species